AUCAGAGUAGAUCCAUCUACGUUUGUCGUCGAGGACGGGCCACGUAGGCUUUACCAUUGCAAAAUCUCUCGGGGAGCUCCUAAAGCUGCCGAAAGUUGGUCCUCCUAAGAAAAUGCUUCGCUCUCCCUUUCUCACCUAACUCUCUCCUGUGUGAACUUAUCGCAGGGGCCGGGGGGAGAAUCCACUGUGUACCAAGUCUGAGUGGCACUUAGAGCAAGCGCGAGUAAUGCGCCAAGAAAAGCAAGCACCGUCCAGGGGCUCUUGAAAUAAUUUUCUCUGAGUUCGCCCAACCAUUUCCACCGUUUUUUGUCGCAGUAUUUCUGAAUCUGAGUCCAGACGUGAUUAUGCUCGUCGUCGUCAGGCACCAAGUUGGUGCCUAUCUCAUUGAAGAGCUCAGCCACGUCUUCGUCGCUGCCGAGGAGGUUGAAGAGAACAUUUGCUUUUCGUAGUUCCUUGACGUCGUUGGUGUUAUCGAUGAGUGAAUCGAGGAAAGAUACGUAAGAGGUGAUGCCCUUUUAGGAGUCCAGACACAUUUCGUAGGCUAUUAAGUUCAAUAACUUCGACCCCGUUGAGUCGUCCACUAUUAGCGGAGGAAGCCAGAGGACUCCUGGGAGGCAGUUGAUCAGGUUUCUACCAAAAGCUAUGUUUCUCAAGGAAUUACCUUCACUUCGCUUCACAUGGAUUCCUGCUGCUUUAAGCAUCUGCACGGUGCUAUAAAUUGAGCUACGCUUUGGUGCCCUGUCUCUCUGGUUUGUCGGUCGAUUUCCUUCUGUUUUUUCAUUUUCCUUUGCGUUGCCUAGAAGACUUGCCCUCAGAAGGUCGAGAAGAUGGGUCGGGUUUUCUGGUGGCUUCCAAGAUUGCGGAUCCGAGCUGUUGUCCAUUAGUACCAUUUGUUGGUUUCUUCUAAUGAAUUCUCCGACCGAAUCCCUCAACUCGUUUCCAACUUUGCUCAACCCCAUCAACAACUCGAGGAGACGAUAGGGAACUUGGUUCUCCAGCAAGAACAAAUCCUGUUCACAAAAGGCUACACUGUCAUUUUUUAUACCAAAAUCUUUGAACUUGUCUUUAAUAGCUAGGUCAAUGUAUUGAAGGAUUGCGCAACCGUCGAUGACCAAUAUCCAGGCGAGGUCAACAUCGUUAUACUUCUUCGUCACCUCCUCCUCGAAGCACUCCCUGAGUUCCUUAAUUCAGAGCCCCUUCGGACCGGUCGGGCUAUUCUUCUCAUAAUAACAGCCCUCAAUGAGAACAAGCCACGUCAGUAAGUCUACCCAAAGCAAGUUGAAGCUUAUCACACCAGAUCAAUCACAGACCCCUACUCGAUGGAAAGAAUCCUUCAGCAGCCCUCCAUCAUUCAAGUCGCCGCAGGAUUGCAUUUCAGAUAUCACCGUUGUCUGUCACCAUUUGUCCGUUGCCGCCAUCCCCUCAGCCCAUGCAUGUUAAUAUUUCAAUUUGGGUCUCUUUCUUAUAGGUCUGCUUUGCCACCGGUGCCUUUAUCACACAAGAUCUUCUAAUUUCUUUUUCUCUGUAAUUUUGGUCGCAAGGUCUCUACUGCUGCUAUUGAUUAUUGAUUUACUCCAGCACCUUGCUAUACAUGAGCAUUUGCUUACAAUGAAAAGAAAUUCAGGGAUGGUUCAUGAA